rnacentral:rRNA from 1 species
UACGAAGGGGGCUAGCGUUGCUCGGAAUCACUGGGCGUAAAGCGCACGUAGGCGGCUUUCUAAGUCAGGGGUGAAAUCCUGGAGCUCAACUCCAGAACUGCCUUUGAUACUGGAGAGCUUGAGUCCGGGAGAGGUGAGUGGAACUCCGAGUGUAGAGGUGAAAUCGUAGAUAUCGGAAGAACACCAGUGGCGAAGGGCGCUCACUGGCCCGGUACUGACGCUGAUGUGCGAAAGCGUGGGGAGCAACAGG